rnacentral:rRNA from 1 species
UACGGGGGGGGCAAGCGUUGUUCGGAAUUACUGGGCGUAAAGGGCUCGUAGGUGGCCAACUAAGUCAGACGUGAAAUCCCCAGGCUCAACUUGGGAACUGCGUCUGAUACUGGUUGGCUUGAGUGCAGGAGAGGAACGCGGAAUUCCAGGUGUAGCGGUGAAAUGCGUAGAUAUCUGGAGGAACACCGGUGGCGAAGGCGGCGUUCUGGACUGCAACUGACACUGAGGAACGAAAGCCAGGGGAGCAAACGGG